rnacentral:rRNA from 1 species
CUCGUAGGCGGCCAACUAAGUCGGACGUGAAAUCCCUCGGCUUAACCGGGGAACUGCGUCCGAUACUGGAUGGCUUGAGUUCGGGAGAGGGACGCGGAAUUCCAGGUGUAGCGGUGAAAUGCGUAGAUAUCUGGAGGAACACCGGUGGCGAAGGCGGCGUCCUGGACCGACACUGACGCUGAGGAGCGAAAGCCAGGGGAGCAAACGGGAUUAGAUACCCCGGUAGUCCUGGCCCUAAACGAUGAAUGCUUGGUGUGACGGGUAUCGAUCCCUGUCGUGCCGAAGCUAACGCAUUAAGCAUUCCGCCUGGGGAGUACGGUCGCAAGGCUGAA